AUCAGUGUGAGAGAGAUGGCUAUUAGCUUCACAGCAACUGGCGACUCUAGAGUCAUUGUGAGAGAAACAAAGUGUCUCCCCUGUUCUUUCUGACCACCGUGGGAAAUCUGUAACAGGAAAAGUUAGUUCUCGCCUUGAUUUCACAUUUGUUUAUGGAGAAGGCGAAUCAGGUAAUGAGUCUGGGGAAAUGUAGUUACAUUUUUCGAGAGAUGCACGUCAGGCUACAGCGUAGGGUCCGUUUCUCCACGUACCUACGUACGUACCCACGGCGUAGUUCUAACACAGAAGCAUAUAUCGCGCUUUACAGCAUGGAGAUACGGU